ensembl:snRNA U6 U6 spliceosomal RNA
GGGCUCACUUCUGCAGCGCAUAUACUAAAACUGGAGUAAUACAGAGAAGAUUAGCUUGGCUUCUGCACAAAGAUGACAUGCAAAUUCAUGAAGGGUCCCACAGAAAA